GUCUACUGCCAUAACACCUUGAACACACCCAAUCUUGUCUGGUCUCAAAAGCUAAGCAGGGUCAGGCCUGGUUAGUACUUGGAUGGAAGACAGAUCUUCAAAAGAGAAGCAGUUUGGAGACA
rnacentral:rRNA from 1 species